GAUGAACGCUGGCGGCGUGCCUAAUACAUGCAAGUCGAACGAAACUUCUUUAUCACCGAGUGCUUGCACUCACCGAUAAAGAGUUGAGUGGCGAACGGGUGAGUAACACGUGGGCAACCUGCCCAAAAGAGGGGGAUAACACUUGGAAACAGGUGCUAAUACCGCAUAACCAUAGUUACCGCAUGGUAACUAUGUAAAAGGUGGCUAUACUACCGCUUUUGGAUGGGCCCGCGGCGCAUUAGCUAGUUGGUAGGGUAAAGGCUUACCAAGGCAAUGAUGCGAGGCCGAAUGGAGAGGUGGGUGGGCCACAUUGGGACUGGGACAGGGCCCAAACCCCUCGGGGAGGCAGGAGGAGGGAAUUCUCCACAAGGGGCGAAAGCCUUAGGGAGCAACGCCGGGGGGGUAAAAAGGGUCCUGGGAUCGUAAACCCCUUUUUUUAGAGAAAAAAGGGCGGGAGGGAAACUGUUCACGUUUCGACGGUAUCAAACCAAAAACCCCCGGCUAACUACG
rnacentral:rRNA from 1 species